UACGUGGGGAGCAAGCGUUGUUCGGAUUUACUGGGCGUAAAGGGCGCGUAGGCGGCCACCGCAAGUCGGUUGUGAAAUCUCUGGGCUUAACCCAGAAAGGUCAACCGAUACUGCGGGGCUAGAGUGCAGAAGGGGCAACUGGAAUUCUCGGUGUAGCGGUGAAAUGCGUAGAUAUCGAGAGGAACACCUGCGGCGAAGGCGGGUUGCUGGGCUGACACUGACGCUGAUGCGCGAAAGCUAGGGGAGCGAACGGG
rnacentral:rRNA from 1 species